rnacentral:rRNA from 1 species
CCUACGGGUGGCAGCAGUGGGGGAUAUUGCACAAUGGGGGAAACCCUGAUGCAGCGACGCCGCGUGUGGGAAGACGGUCCUCUGGAUUGUAAACCACUGUCCCCAGGGACGAAGAUGACGGUACCUGGGGAGGAAGCUCCGGCUAACUACGUGCCAGCAGCCGCGGUAAUACGUAGGGAGCGAGCGUUGUCCGGAAUUACUGGGUGUAAAGGGAGCGUAGGCGGGACUGCAAGUUGGGUGUCAAAUCUACCGGCUCAACCGGUAGCCGCACUCGAAACUGCAGUUCUUGAGUGAAGUAGAGGCAGGCGGAAUUCGUGGUGUAGCGGUGAAAUGCGUAGAUAUUAGGAAGAACACCGAUGGCGAAGGCAGCCUGCUGGGCUUUUACUGACGCUGAGGCUCGAAAGUGUGGGGAGCGAACAGGAUUAGAUACCCGGGUAGUC